rnacentral:rRNA from 1 species
GACGAACGCUGGCGGCGUGCUUAACACAUGCAAGUCGAACGGAAAGGCCCUGCUUUUGUGGGGUGCUCGAGUGGCGAACGGGUGAGUAACACGUGAGUAACCUGCCCUUGACUUUGGGAUAACUUCAGGAAACUGGGGCUAAUACCGGAUAGGAGCUCCUGCUGCAUGGUGGGGGUUGGAAAGUUUCGGCGGUUGGGGAUGGACUCGCGGCUUAUCAGCUUGUUGGUGGGGUAGUGGCUUACCAAGGCUUUGACGGGUAGCCGGCCUGAGAGGGUGACCGGCCACAUUGGGACUGAGAGACGGCCCAGACUCCUACGGGAGGCAGCAGUGGGGAAUAUUGCACAAUGGGCGGAAGCCUGAUGCAGCAACGCCGCGUGCGGGAUGACGGCCUUCGGGUUGGAAACCGCUUUAGCCUGUGACGAAGCGGGAGUGACGGUAAUGGGUAAAGAAGCACCGGCUAACUACGUG